rnacentral:sRNA from 2 species
ACCACUCAAGGUCCGUUCGCAUAAUUCGUCUGGCAGGGGCGGGGGAACCAAUUUUGGUCUUCGAAAGAGGGCCUUGGGGUUAAGUCACAAACGCUUCCAACGGCGUGUGGCCGGAUGACUCCCAUCCGAAUCCGACAGCUCACCUCGCAGGCAUUGGGAGAGGCUAC